rnacentral:lncRNA from 1 species
CCUGCAUCCAGGAGAAUGUCAACUGCAGCGCUUGGAAGAUGGUUCAAACUGUGCCACCUCUAAGCCACAAGAGUGCUGGCAGUGGUAGAUUCACUGCAUGAAGAAAAAUAUGUUCAGAUUUGCAAGUUAAACCCCAAAUCUUGAGACCAGAGAAUACUCAAAUAACCAGUGUCGAGGUCAACAAAAUUUUCUAAAAGACCAUACCUCAGACCAUUAGUUAAAUUACUAUUUAACCGCGUAUGUGUCCUACACAUAUUUGUAAAUAGGUACCAAGGUACAAUCCGCCAAAUAUGAAAUAUAUUUAGAAAAGGGCAUACACAGGUAAGACACGUGCAUCCUAACCUAAAACACGUUAAGAACAUCGAUGGAAGCAGAGAUAAAAGUACUCACUAUUUCCACACUGGUGGUAGCUUCUUUGUCUUCUUGUAAUAACGGGCAAGACGGUGAAUUCUGCUCUCAACCAAGAUUAACCUAAACUUGGAAUCCUUGUCUUUCCUGUUCC